CUUGAACGCUGUCGGCAGGCCUAACACAUGCAAGUCGAACGAGUGGCGGACGGGUGAGUAAUGUCUGGGAAACUGCCUGAUGGAGGGGGAUAACUACUGGCAACGGUAGCUAAUACCGCAUCCCAUCGGUUUGCCCAAGAGGGGAUUAGCUAGUAGGUGGGGUACAGGCUCAACUAGGCGACGAUCCCUAGCUGGUCUGAGAGGAUGACCAGCCACACUGGAACUGAGACACGGUCCAGACUCCUACGGGAGGCAGCAGUGGGGAAGAUUGCACAAUGGGCGCAAGCCUGAUGCAGCCAUGCCGCGUGUAUGAAGAAGGCCUUCGGGUUGUAAAGUACUUUCAGCGGGGAGGCGUUACCCGCAGAAGAAGCACCGGCUAACUCCGUGCCAGCAGCCGCGGUAAUUC
rnacentral:rRNA from 1 species